AUCAAAUAGUCGUCCCCAGGCAGCAAAGCGCAAGAGCACACAUGCUUUUAGGACGAGCGAACAUCACAGAGCACGAAGUUUGACCAAACCGGACUCUUGUAACGGAUAAAGACUUGUCACCUCUCAAGAACUCAGGGGGAGCUGUGGGGAGUGUUAGUGGGAUCGUGAGGUCUUGGAUGUUUCUUCUAUCUUGGAGAAUGCCUGAUAGUGAACACUAACUUUUCUCCGUCACAUCAUUCCGCCCUGUUAAUUCAGUCUAUCUGCUGACCACGUCUGUCUGAGGCGUGUAACAGAUUUUGAGGCUCGUCCGGGAUUGGCGCCACCUGCUGGAGGUAUCUGAUCCAGAGAUUUAUGAACCAGGGACAGCAUGACGCUUGACCAGAGCGAGAGGGCUACAAGUGGGCGACUUAGCAGCGGCAGGUUGUGUGAGGGGAGGAAGUUGUGAAGUCACGCGGAGGAGAAGCAGUUACUGUUCGGUUACAGACCCGGAGUAAGGCUAAGGCUCGGUCCACCAGAAGGAACCAAGCCUUCUUUCAGAGGUCCUCUUCUUCCACACAGUCCUACCCUACCAGUGACUGUGCAAAUCCAUUCACAGACAGACACAGAACUUAACAAAGUCUCUUGUACCCUAUAUUUGAAAGGAGUUUUCAAUCCUAAAAGUACACACACUAUAGGAAGACUGCAUGGUGAAAGUGUUACCUUGUUAGACACCCACAGGGCUAUAGACAGAGGCUCCACUUAUCAAACCCACUCACUGUCCCUACCCUGGAGAAAAAGGCUUAUUUAGCAUCUAACGCUAGCACGUUGUGCUGCGCGUUGCUUUCACAUUCAGC
rnacentral:lncRNA from 1 species